rnacentral:sRNA from 1 species
GCCAGGGUGGGGAGACACUGUCGGGGCCUGCUCAAGGGACAGUUGGCCUCUUGUGCCUUCGAUGAGCUUCCCUGGGUGUGACAUUCACACUGCAAUGGUCCCCAAGAUAAGUCUGGGUCACACACAGAAGAGGUUUCACUUCCCAUUGACGUGUCCAGCUUCUUUCUGUGCGCGCAUGGUAUAUGUGUCUGGAGUAGGUUCAGAAAACAGCCGUUUCAAAGAAACUAGGGUUUUGAAAACUGGAGAGUCCAGGGAGAUUGUGAAAUCUCUGCAGGGAGGUCACAAGAUAUCCCUGCAUGCGUUUGGGGUUUCUGUUUUUAAAACUCUUUUAUUGACUGAGACCAUCUGCGUGAGAGAAGGUCCCAGAAUAUUGAGGUUGGAGUUAGAGAGGAACGAACAGACAUGGUGGACUCACCAGUCCACUGUGGGAGUAACCAAGAUGACAAAGAGGUUGCCACAGGGAGAGAGAUUUUGACUGCACUGUUUCGAGUGUCAGGAUGUCUUUGUUGCGGACUUGACGGAAGCACUGUGGCGAGUUCAAAAGGCUGCUCGCUAGGCUGACACCUGAGGUCAAGCUGUCAUCCCAGCCCAGCCACUUCGCCCUGGCCAAAUCCUUCAGACUCAACUCAUUGAACUUGCUUGAGUUUAAAAAAAAAAACAAUCCCCACGCUGGCAAGCGGCCAGGGCAGUUGGGAAACCAGAUGAUAUGGCUCAGAUGUUGCAAACCCCGGGACUUGCCCUUCUUUAGUGAAGCGCUACAUUGUGUCGAGUGGGAGUGAGGAAGGGCCAGGCACCUCCUGUAGCUGACCUAAAGCCAUCCAUCAAGGUUUUGAGAUGCCCAGGGGGAGUGGGUGGAGCUGUUUACUCCCCACAUGCUCCUCCCACCACCAGAAUCAUCCCGAGAGCAGGUUCAGCUGUAAAAACCAGCUCCAGCGGCUUGGGGUCCCCGCAGAAAGCACACAUUAGAGGUCUCUGGGGGGCCAGUGCUUUAGAUGGUUGGGAGGACUGGACAUUGCUGGGAUGGGGAUAGGCACUGACAUAGCAGGGCAGUGGCUCCUAUUGGAGGGUGCAGCUGCCAUUCAGGGCUAGAAAUGAUACCCACGUCAGCUCAAAGUCAAAUAUCUCUACGUUUGAACUUUUAAAAGCAAAGUCUCUCAAUUUUGAGAAAUUUCAUCUUUAAAAAACAAAUGCUGUGGGCCCAAGAAGAUGUUUCUGUGGACAGGAAUGGCUCAAGUGCUCUGAACAGCUCUAGCUGGAUUGUAUAUAUGGAAACAGAUGAAGGGUAAGGCCCCCAAAAGUGUUCAUCUGGCCAGUCACCUCGAAGGCAGAAAGACCACACCUCCCACAAAGACUUCUGGGAGGAACAUGAAAUGAGAAGCUUGUGUAGCAUAAUCAAAACAGAAACCGGGGCCAUGGGAACUCAGAGAUAUGGGGGACAGCCCAUCAAACAGAAGGCGAAAUUACUAAUCCCACAACACUAUGGGGUUUAUGAUGGGGUGAAAGUCCAUAUGAUAGUCACACAGG